AACGAACGCUGGCGGCAUGCCUAACACAUGCAAGUCGAACGAGACCUUCGGGUCUAGUGGCGCACGGGUGCGUAACGCGUGGGAACCUGCCCUUAGGUUCGGAAUAACUCCCCGAAAGGGGUGCUAAUACCGGAUAAUGUCUUCGGACCAAAGAUUUAUCGCCUUUGGAUGGGCCCGCGUUGGAUUAGCUAGUUGGUAGGGUAAAAGCCUACCAAGGCGACGAUCCAUAGCUGGUCUGAGAGGAUGAUCAGCCACACUGGGACUGAGACACGGCCCAGACUGGGGGGGGGGGAAGAGGGGGGAAUAGUAGGAAACGGGGGGAAGGCAGGAACCGGCAAGGCCGGGGGGGGAAAAAAGCCCUGAGGGUGGAAAAGCUUUUUACCCGGGGAGAAUAAUGACAUUAGCGGGAAAAUAAGCCCCGGCUAACUCCGUG
rnacentral:rRNA from 1 species